GGGAAGUGAGGGGAGGUGGGGAGAGGCAGGAGGGAGGGGAGGUAGGGGAAGGGGGUAAGGGGUGAUGGGUUUGAAGAGCACACUGUGAUGAGCAGUAACGUACAGAAUCAUUGAGUCACUAUAUCGUACACCAAAAACUAACACAACACUGCGUUCAUUAUGCUUUUUAAGACAUGAUCCGUCGUUCUACCCACUCAGUGAAAAGAAGAGAUGUCAGAAUAUUUACUGAUAAAUCACCACGGUAUCUGAAGCUUAGUCUCUAAUGGUUCCUCUUUCUCUCCUGCAGAGAAACACACAGGCCUGUCUACACUGUGCGUGGAGUCUUGGAUGGUGAACGUGUGGAAAGCAUUCGGCCAAGGGGAUUUAAGCCAAAGCACUAUGGCCAUACUCUUCUCAGCUCGGGAAAUACUAGCACCUGAGCAUCCUCAAGAUGCAAAAUAACCUCUGCCAAAGCUGUUCCUGAUGGUGGCUCUCUCGGGAAGGGCAACCUCCAGGGACAGCCAGAGGGACAGCCAGUUCGCAAGUUCCAAAAGCUCAGGUUUGGUAACUCAGAGGGAGGAUAUGGUUCUUCCACUAGCAAGUUACUGGAGGUCUCCCGAGUCCAUACGACAUCAAGUUAGAACCGAAGCCUGUUCCCAGGAUGUACAACCCGAGCUAGGUAGUCAAGUGUGGAGUGUCCAUGUGACGGUGACAUGUCGGUUGCUCCGGGGAAAGUCGUCUCCAUCAUUAUCUGCUUCAUUCACCCUUUUGAGGCUGACAGCUGCCCAGGUACCAAUCUUGUGUAACAUGUGAUGCAAACAACUCUCGAGACACAGGAUCUUUCCACCUGGUCCUACUCCCUGGUCACUGCCCCAAACCCAUGCUCCAUUCUGUGACCCACGAUCAGAUUUUUAAAAAUAACAGGUCAUGAAAUAAUUUUUUUUUUUUUUUACUUAGGGAACUCAUUUACUUAUGGAUACCGCAUUCAUGCUCUAUGCUCUUCAACUCAAUUCACUGCCCUGGGAAUCUAAGCCAUGUAAGAUGAACAUCAGAAGAACCUUCAACAGAUGCUAAAUCCCCACUGCAUCUAGAUUUAACAGUACUUAUGUUUCCCGUAAACACCAGUGGCGGCCCCACCUGCCUAUUUCAUAUUACGCUUGUUGAAAACUUGAGAUACUAUCCAUGAUGUUGUUUGCAUGUUGGCUCUUUGUAGAUUACUAUAAACUCUUUCACCCAUUACAGGAAUACUGCCAAAUGGAGAAAUGAACAACUGCAUAUUUAAUUCUUCACUUAAUUACAUACAUUUUCGUAAAAAAGAAGAGCUGAGGUGGUUUUAUUCUUAAGACAACAAUCCAUGAUGAGAUAGUCAUCAUUAUGUAACCCCCAAAAUAUGGCUCCUUCAAGGAAGCAAUAUACAUUUCCUGAUGCACAGAGAACUGAGAAGUCCCAAAUGGAGGUGCCAUUUCAUAAGCCUGUUGGUUUCUCUGGGCUUUGUUUCCUCACAUGCACUGGCUGGAAGCUUCCAUGGGAGACACCUGACAAUGGGGACCCCUAAGUGAUUUUCCAUACUUCCCCCAAAUGCAGAGGUAAGCACUUUAAACGCUCAAAACCCAUCACCCUUUGGUGCCUGCAAACAAGAUGGCGAAUCUGGUAUUGUCUUACAGAUGUAACUGGAGGAAUGAGGUUUGUGUGCCUGUCUUUGGAUCCAGGACCCAUAAAUCUCGAGUGAGUUGAAAAGGCUUGUAAGGAGAUUUCACGAGAGGCGGGCAUUCUCAUGGUCUGUUUGCUCCAUCAGACAUCUGUAGGCAAUAGCUUACAAUGACGUUCACAGAGCGUUACAAGUCACACGAUACCACUUUCCCCCAGGAUAACUCUGGAGAGAGACUGUUCCUCCUGUACCCUCGGCCUCCUGGUAAACUUUCUGCAGACACAAUCAGCGUGAAUUCAGGUACGCAUAUAAUUUUCAUUUCCAUUUUAGCAAAAUAUCUGUUCUCUAUCAGUCGUAACUUUGGUUCAAAAAAAUUGCCUUUGUGGAGAAAAAAAAAAAGAAUGGUCAAUGUCUACACUAUCAGUAUAAAUUAUAUCAGUUUACCUAGCUUGGGAUUAUAAGAACUCCUGGAAAACACUUCAGUUUUUUAAAAAUUGUAACUUUCCUUUAGCAGUAAUUCAAAAAGACAGGAAAAAAAAAGAGAGAGAGAUCCAUCCUUGAUUUGAGCAAUUCUACA